UGGGGAAUAUUGCACAAUGGGCGAAAGCCUGAUGCAGCAACGCCGCGUGAGUGAUGAAGGCCUUCGGGUUGUAAAGCUCUGUCUUUUGGGACGAUAAUGACGGUACCAAAGGAGGAAGCCACGGCUAACUACGUGCCAGCAGCCGCGGUAAUACGUAGGUGGCAAGCGUUGUCCGGAUUUACUGGGCGUAAAGGAUGCGUAGGCGGAUUUUUAAGUGAGAUGUGAAAACCCUAAGCUUAACUUGGGGACUGCAUUUCAUACUGGAAAUCUAGAGUGCGGGAGAGGAGAAUGGAAUUCCUAGUGUAGCGGUGAAAUGCGUAGAGAUUAGGAAGAACACCAGUGGCGAAGGCGAUUCUCUGGACCGUAACCGACGCUGAGGCAUGAAAGCGUGGGUAGCAAACAGGAUUAGAUACCCUGGUAGUCCACGCCGUAAACGAUGAGUACUAGGUGUAGGAGGUAUCGACCCCUUCUGUGCCGCAGUUAACACAAUAAGUACUCCGCCUGGGAAGUACGAUCGCAAGAUUAAAAACUUAAAUGAAUUGACGGGGUCAUAGCUGUUUCCU
rnacentral:rRNA from 1 species